rnacentral:rRNA from 1 species
CCUACGGGAGGCAGCAGUGAGGAAUAAUUGUCAAUGGGCGAGAGCCUGAACCUGCCAAGUCGCGUGAGGGAGUACUGCCCUAUGGGUUGUAAACCUCUUUUGUCGGGGAGCAAAAGCCGGACGUGUCCGGCUGUGAGGGUACCCGAAGAAAAAGCAUCGGCUAACUCCGUGCCAGCAGCCGCGGUAAUACGGAGGAUGCGAGUGUUAUCCGGAUUUAUUGGGUUUAAGGGGUGCGUAGGCGGCCUUUUAAGUCAGCGGUGAAAGUCUGGGGCUCAACCAUAGAAUUGCCGAUGAUACUGGGAGGCGAGAGUAUUGUAGGGGCAAGCGGAAUGCGUGGUGUAGCGGUGAAAUGCAUAGAUAUCGCGCGGAACCCUGGUGGCGAAGGAGGCUU